ACAGCUUCUUCCCGCGUUGUUCGGAAUUAUUGGGCGUAAAGAGCACGUAGGCGGCCUUGCAAGUCAGUUGUGAAAGCCUUCCGCUUAACGGAAGAACGGCAUCUGAAACUACAGGGCUUGAGUACGGGAGGGGAGAGUGGAACUUCUGGUGGAGCGGUGAAAUGCGUAGAUAUCAGAAGGAACGCCGGCGGCGAAAGCGACUCUCUGGUCCGAAACUGACGCUUAGUGUGCGAAAGCUAGGGUAGCAAACGG
rnacentral:rRNA from 1 species